rnacentral:tRNA from 1 species
GAUUGUUGAGGAACGUCAGGAAGCAAUUCCAAAGACUAGGCCCAAAUUCCUAAUCUGGGGGUCGCGCGUUCGAAUCGCGCCGGGAUCACCA